UACGUAGGGGGCGAGCGUUGUCCGGAAUCACUGGGCGUAAAGGGUGCGUAGGCGGGUUUUUAAGUCAGGGGUGAAAUCCUGGAGCUCAACUCCAGAACUGCCUUUGAUACUGGCGAUCUUGAGUCCGGGAGAGGUGAGUGGAACUGCGAGUGUAGAGGUGAAAUUCGUAGAUAUUCGCAAGAACACCAGUGGCGAAGGCGGCUCACUGGCCCGGUACUGACGCUGAGGUGCGAAAGCGUGGGGAGCAAACAGG
rnacentral:rRNA from 1 species